GGCUCGAUGGCGGACGGUCCGCGCCUACAUCACAUCGGCGUACUAUGCACAGGUGUUAAUGUAGGAGAUGCCCGUUCGACUCGGGCUCGAGCCA